rnacentral:rRNA from 1 species
UACGGGGGGGGUAAGCGUUGUUCGGAAUUACUGGGCGUAAAGGGCUCGUAGGCGGCCAACUAAGUCAUACGUGAAAUCCCUCAGCUUAACUGGGGAACUGCGUGUGAUACUGGAUGGCUUGGAUUUGGGAGAGGGAUGCGGAAUUCCUGGUGUAGCGGUGAAAUGCGCAGAUAUCAGGAGGAACACCGGUGGCGAAGGCGGUUCUCUGGGCAUUACCUGACGCUGAGGAGCGAAAGUGUGGGGAGCGAACAGG